CCUUACUCCAUCUCCUUCCCUAUGGACAACACUGCAUAUUUCGGCAUCAAAGAAAGGGAAGUUUGCAGUUUGCUUCUCUCAGCAGCAGCUCUUGGAGCCUCAAGAUGCUUAUUAAGGGAGAAAAGCAAACGGGAAUAAACGCAUUGAUUAAGUUGUGCUUAGCACAAACCCUGGAUAGUGAUUCAGAGUAAUAAUAAAAACCUUGCAAAACAAUAUAAAUACCAGUGGGAUUAAAAAGCCUAACCCUCAAGCAAACAAGUCAGAGCACACAGAAGGAGUGUUGUAUCUAACAGCCCCAAGUUGCACAACACCCAACAUCUGCUGUCAGAAGCUUUCCGCCCCACUCAGAGCAGCCUCCAGCAAGCAGAGAGCAUUUCACCCCCCAAAUGGGGUUUAGUGUCUCCAUGUAUGUCCUCUAACUCCUCCUGCUGCAUUGCAACACCAACAGAGAGCCAUAGGAAUGCAGCUACCUGGAAGAAAUGGGAGAUGAGGGUGAGGGCUGCAGGGAACCAGAGCCAGGCAGGCAAACCACAGUGCUUACACAGACAGUUUGCUGGCAUAGGCUGUGCAGCAAGUGAGACCCCAGAUUCGGUGCCAUUGGAAAGUGACUGUUACUGAAUCCUUGAUAUCCCCUGAAUUUCAUGUCAUGUGUGACUGUGAUGGCCGUGUGCUCUGACCGGAGCCAAUUUAACUCCUGCAUGUGCUGACGUUGCCUUUCUGGGUCCCAGUCCAGCCAGGCUGGAGCCUGCAAGCCCCAGUGCGGGCUUAACCAGCUCCCUGCUGGGCUCUGUUAGCAGCAGUGAGGCACUGCUGCUCCUCUGUGCCUCUUUACAUCUGUUUCUGUGUUUUGGAGGAACCCUGCCAAGAACACCCCCUUUCCAUUGGCUCUCACGUCUGAUUUAUUUGGAGUCUCUCAGCCCCUCACCCUUGGUGUCGGCCAGAUCACUGGAGCAGGAGUCACAAGAUUUAAAAAAAAAA